CCACUCAGGUGUACCCUGCCCAUAUGAGCAACAAACUGGCACCCAGACCGGGACCGAGGAAGGUCAGGAAGAUGCUGAAAGAACACUGUUUCGUGUGGAGCUCCAUGGGAAGAAAAAGAAAAGGAUUGUAUGGGGCACCGAAGCAACAGGUUUCCAGCCACUUUUUCCACGUUCCAUGCCUCUAUGACAUCAAUUUUACGUAAACCCAAGGAAACGAGUCUGAGAUAAAACAUUGUGCAGAUGUUCUGAGAGCAUUUCCAGUGCUUGGGUCUCUGAUUGCUAGUUGGGAGGAGACCUCACAUCCAGCUACCGCCUCCAACAACACAUACCAUUUUGUUUCUUCACACUCGGAGCAGCAAUGCAUAAGUUUGGGACUUAGAUAAUCUUGAUUUGUACGCGACCCAGAAGUUAAGUUGUUGUCACUAUUGAUAAAUGUUGGACCUAUGGUAGAACA